AGUGAACGCUGGCGGUAGGCCUAACACAUGCAAGUCGAACGGCAGCACAGUAAGAGCUUGCUCUUACGAGUGGCGAGUGGCGGACGGGUGAGGAAUACAUCGGAAUCUACUUUUUCGUGGGGGAUAACGUAGGGAAACUUACGCUAAUACCGCAUACGACCUACGGGUGAAAGCAGGGGAUCUUCGGACCUUGCGCGAUUGAAUGAGCCGAUGUCGGAUUAGCUAGUUGGCGGGGUAAAGGCCCACCAAGGCGACGAUCCGUAGCUGGUCUGAGAGGAUGAUCAGCCACACUGGAACUGAGACACGGUCCAGACUCCUACGGGAGGCAGCAGUGGGGAAUAUUGGACAAUGGGCGCAAGCCUGAUCCAGCCAUACCGCGUGGGUGAAGAAGGCCUUCGGGUUGUAAAGCCCUUUUGUUGGGAAAGAAAAGCAGCAGGUGAAUACCCCGCUGUUCUGACGGUACCCAAAGAAUAAGCACCGGCUAACUUCGUG
rnacentral:rRNA from 1 species